GCUGCCGUAGCCUAACCUGGACAGGCACAGACCUCCUAAGUCUGCUCAUGCGAGUUCGAAUCUCGUCGGCAGCG
rnacentral:tRNA from 2 species